rnacentral:rRNA from 1 species
GAUGAACGCUGGCGGCGUGCCUAAUACAUGCAAGUCGAGCGACCGGACGAGAAGCUUGCUUCUCUGAUGUUAGCGGCGGACGGGUGAGUAACACGUGGAUACCCUACCUUUAAGACUGGGAUAACUUCGGGAAACCGGAGCUAAUACCGGAUAAUAUUUUGAACCGCAUGGUUCAAAAGUGAAAGACGGUCUUGCUGUCCCUUAUAGAUGGAUCCGCGCUGCAUUAGCUAGUUGGUAAGGUAACGGCUUACCAAGGCAACGAUGCGUAGCCGACCUGAGAGGGUGAUCGGCCACACUGGAACUGAGACACGGUCCAGACUCCUACGGGAGGCAGCAGUAGGGAAUCUUCCGCAAUGGGCGAAAGCCUGACGGAGCAACGCCGCGUGAGUGAUGAAGGUCUUCGGAUCGUAAAACUCUGUUAUUAGGGAAGAACAUAUGUGUAAGUAACUGUGCACAUCUUGACGGUACCUAAUCAGAAAGCCACGGCUAACUACGUG